rnacentral:rRNA from 1 species
AGUGAACGCUGGCGGUAGGCCUAACACAUGCAAGUCGAACGGCAGCACAGUAAGAGCUUGCUCUUACGGGUGGCGAGUGGCGGACGGGUGAGGAAUACAUCGGAAUCUACUUUUUCGUGGGGGAUAACGUAGGGAAACUUACGCUAAUACCGCAUACGACCUACGGGUGAAAGCAGGGGAUCUUCGGACCUUGCGCGAUUGAAUGAGCCGAUGUCGGAUUACCUAGUUGGCGGGGUAAAGGCCCACCAAGGCGACGAUCCGUAGCUGGUCUGAGAGGAUGAUCAGCCACACUGGAACUGAGACACGGUCCAGACUCCUACGGGAGGCAGCAGUGGGGAAUAUUGGACAAUGGGCGCAAGCCUGAUCCAGCCAUACCGCGUGAGUGAAGAAGGCCUUCGGGUUGUAAAGCCCUUUUGUUGGGAAAGAAAAGCAGCAGGUUAAUACCCCGCUGUUCUGACGGUACCCAAAGAAUAAGCACCGGCUAACUUCGUG